CCUGGUUGAUCCUGCCAGUAGUCAUAUGCUUGUCUCAAAGAUUAAGCCAUGCAUGUCUCAGUACAUGCCGAAUUAAGGUGAAACCGCGAAUGGCUCAUUAAAUCAGUUAUGGUUUCUUAGAUUGUACCCACAUUUACUUGGAUAACUGUGGUAAUUCUAGAGCUAAUACAUGCAAACCAGAAUUCCUACCAGAGAUGGGAGGAAUGCUUUUAUUAGAUCAAAACCAAUCGGUGGCGGACGGUUCGCCCGUUCGUCCAUCGUUUGCUUUGGUGACUCUGAAUAACUUUGUGCUGAUCGCAUGGUCAUCUAGCACCGGCGACGAAUCUUUCAAAUGUCUGCCUUAUCAACUGUCGAUGGUAGGUUCUGCGCCUACCAUGGUUGUAACGGGUAACGGGGAAUCAGGGUUCGAUUCCGGAGAGGGAGCCUGAGAAACGGCUACCACAUCCAAGGAAGGCAGCAGGCGCGCAAAUUACCCACUCCCGGCACGGGGAGGUAGUGACGAAAAAUAACGAUACGGGACUCAUCCGAGGCCCCGUAAUCGGAAUGAGUACACUUUAAAUCCUUUAACAAGGACCAAUUGGAGGGCAAGUCUGGUGCCAGCAGCCGCGGUAAUUCCAGCUCCAAUAGCGUAUAUUAAAGUUGUUGCGGUUAAAAAGCUCGUAGUUGAAUCUGUGUGUCACAGUGUCGGUUCACCGCUCGCGGUGUCUAACUGGCAUUAUGUGGUACGUCCUACCGGUGGGCUUAGCUCCUUGCGGGCGGUCCAACUAAUCUCCCAUCGCGGUGCUCUUCACUGAGUGUCGAGGUGGGCCGGUACGUUUACUUUGAACAAAUUAGAGUGCUCAAAGCAGGCUACCUUCGCCUGAAUACUGCGUGCAUGGAAUAAUGGAAUAGGACCUCGGUUCUAUUUUGUUGGUUUUCGGAACCCCGAGGUAAUGAUUAAUAGGGACAGAUGGGGGCAUUCGUAUUGCGACGUUAGAGGUGAAAUUCUUGGAUCGUCGCAAGACGGACUAAAGCGAAAGCAUUUGCCAAAAAUGUUUUCAUUAAUCAAGAACGAAAGUUAGAGGUUCGAAGGCGAUCAGAUACCGCCCUAGUUCUAACCAUAAACGAUGCCAGCUAGCGAUCCGCCGAAGUUCCUCCGAUGACUCGGCGGGCAGCUUCCGGGAAACCAAAGCUUUUGGGUUCCGGGGGAAGUAUGGUUGCAAAGCUGAAACUUAAAGGAAUUGACGGAAGGGCACCACCAGGAGUGGAGCCUGCGGCUUAAUUUGACUCAACACGGGAAACCUCACCAGGCCCGGACACCGGAAGGAUUGACAGAUUGAUAGCUCUUUCUUGAUUCGGUGGGUGGUGGUGCAUGGCCGUUCUUAGUUGGUGGAGCGAUUUGUCUGGUUAAUUCCGGUAACGAACGAGACUCUAGCCUGCUAAAUAGGCGUCGUCAUUUAGGUGUGCGCGGCCUCGUGUCGCGCAACUCACUGGCGGCGUAUUAAAAUUCUUCUUAGAGGGACCGGCGGCUUCGAGCCGCACGAGAUUGAGCAAUAACAGGUCUGUGAUGCCCUUAGAUGUCCUGGGCCGCACGCGCGCUACACUGAAGGAAUCAGCAUGUUCUCCCUGGCCUAGAGGCCCGGGCAACCCGCUGAAACUCCUUCGUGCUGGGGAUUGGGGUUUGCAAUUAUCCCCCAUAAACGAGGAAUUCCUAGUAAGCGCGAGU
rnacentral:rRNA from 1 species